rnacentral:rRNA from 1 species
CCUACGGGGUGCAGCAGUGAGGAAUAUUGGUCAAUGGGCGCGAGCCUGAACCAGCCAAGUCGCGUGAGGGAUGAAGGUUCUAUGGAUCGUAAACCUCUUUUAUAUGGGAAUAAAGUGUGGGACGUGUCCUAUUUUGUAUGUACCUUAUGAAUAAGGAUCGGCUAACUCCGUGCCAGCAGCCGCGGUAAUACGGAGGAUCCGAGCGUUAUCCGGAUUUAUUGGGUUUAAAGGGUGCGUAGGCGGCCUUUUAAGUCAGUGGUGAAAGUCUGUGGCUCAACCAUAGAAUUGCCGUUGAAACUGGGAGGCUUGAGUAUGUUAGAGGCAGGCGGAAUGCGUGGUGUAGCGGUGAAAUGCUUAGAUAUCACGCAGAACCCCGAUUGCGAAGGCAGUCUGCCAGGCCAUGACUGACGCUGAUGCACGAAAGCGUGGGGAUCAAACAGGAUUAGAUACCCCGGUAGUC